rnacentral:rRNA from 1 species
AGAGUUUGAUCCUGGCUCAGAACGAACGUUAGCGGCGCGCCUAACACAUGCAAGUCGCACGAGAAGGGGCUUCGGCCUCGGUAAAGUGGCGCACGGGUGAGUAACACGUGGGUAACGUUCCCUCGGGCGGGGGAUAACCUUCCGAAAGGAGGGCUAAUACCGCAUAACAUCGCGAUCCCGCAGGGGAUUGCGAUCAAAGC